rnacentral:lncRNA from 1 species
UACACUUUAUCGCUUUCUAGACUUAACAUGAGUAGUUGAUGGUGUGUGAAAAUUUCAUAUCAUAAACUCAUUGAAAUGUAUGUCACCUUUGAAUCAAAAUAAGACUUAACCAAUUGUGAGGAAGCUUUCCAUUGUACACUAAAAAGUGGGAAACCAAGCAUUAUUUUAACUCAUUCUUAUCAUGCUAAAUCAUGCAUCAAUCUAUUUUUGUGUGAAAAUUUUGGAAAUGAUAGAGGCAUUGUUUGUGAGAAAAACCACUUGACCAAAAAGUUUGAAUCAACUAACCUU